rnacentral:tRNA from 1 species
GUUGCUUUGGCUGAGUGGUUAAGGCGUGUCCCUACUAAGUAUAUGGGGUUUCCCCGCGAGAGUUUGAAUCUCUCAGGCAACG